rnacentral:rRNA from 1 species
CCUACGGGUGUCAGCAGUGAGGAAUAUUGGUCAAUGGGCGCGAGCCUGAACCAGCCAAGUAGCGUGAAGGAUGACUGCCCUACGGGUUGUAAACUUCUUUUAUAAAGGAAUAAAGUGAGGCACGAGUGCCUUUUUGGAUGUACUUUAUGAAUAAGGAUCGGCUAACUCCGUGCCAGAGGCCGCGGUAAGCCGGGGGAUCCGAGCGUUAUCCGGAUUUAUUGGGUUUAAAGGGAGCGGAGAUGGGUUGUUAAGGAAGUUGUGAAAGUUUGCGGGUCAACCGUAAAAUUGCAAUUGAUACUGGCAGUCUUGAGUACAGUUGAGGUGGGCGUAAUUCGUGGUGUAGCGGUGAGAUGCUUAGAGAUCACAAAGAACUCCGAUUGCGAAGGCAGCUUACUAAACUGCCACUGACAUUGAUGCUCGAAAGUGUGGGUAUCAAACAGGAUUAGAUACCCGGGUAGUC